rnacentral:rRNA from 1 species
GACGGACGCUGGCGGCGUGCUUAACACAUGCAAGUCGAACGGAAAGGCCCUAGCUUGCUGGGGUACUCGAGUGGCGAACGGGUGAGUAACACGUGGGUGAUCUGCCCUGCACUCUGGGAUAAGCCUAGGAAACUGGGUCUAAUACCGGAUAGGACCGUGCGCUAGUGUGUGCGGUGGGAAGAGUUUCGGUGCGGGAGGAGCGCGCGGCGUAUCAGCUUGUUGGUGGGGUGAUGGUCUACCAGGGCGGCGUGGGGGAGGCGCCGGGAGGGGGUGCGCGGCCAUAGGGGGAGUGAGACGCGCCAGAGACUUCUGGGAGGGAGAGGAGGGGAGAAUAUUGCACAAUGGGCGAGAGCGUGACGCAGCGGCGCCGUGUGGGAGAUCGCGGCCUGCGUGUUGUAAACCCCUUGCCGCAGAGACGAAGCUAGUGUGGCGGAGCGUGCAUAAGAAGCACCGGCUAUCUGCG